AGUGUGUGUUGUUCCCCUCCCUGUGUCCAUACAGAGCACCCCUUUCUCUCCAAGGAUCGCUGUGGCCUCUGUAAGCUCCCCUCAUAACUGCUCUGAACUGAGCACCCUGCUGAUGAGGGCUUCUUUCUUUGGAAUCCCAAUCGACCCCAUCCUGGAACAGUUCAGAGUACUCCCUUGUGGGAAUUCCCCCGCCGCUGCUUUUGGGGUGAUUCCAGCGUUGGGUUGGCUGGACAAAACAGCCUCGAAGCAUACUGCCCCAAAUCUGGUCCUUCUGAGUUUCUGAUUCCCUCACUCUUCAUCUCUUAUGACGCCUUCCUAAACAUUCCUGAGAGUUUCAAACAUUGUCUUUCAUUUGACUCAGGGAUUCAUCAUCCGCUUCCUGUUGAAAUAGUAAACGCCUCCACAUGGACUCACGGGUUCACCUCCUUCCGGUCUGAACAGUGAACUCCUCCGCAUCAACUCACCCAUUCACCCCUUCCGGUCUAAACAGUGAACGCCUCCGCAUGGACUCACGAGUUCACCUCCUUCCGGUCUAAACAGUGAACGCCUCCGCAUCGACUCACGGGUUCACCUCCUUCCGGUCUGAACAGUGAACUCCUCCGCAUGGACUCACGGGUUCACCUCCUUCCGGUCUGAACAGUGAACGCCUCCGCAUCGACUCACGGGUUCACCUCCUUCCGGUCUGAACAGUGAACUCCUCCGCAUGGACUCACGGGUUCACCUCCUUCCGGUCUGAACAGUGAACUCCUCCGCAUCGACUCACGGGUUCACCUCCUUCCGGUCUGAACAGUGAACUCCUCCGCAUGGACUCACGGGUUCACCUCCUUCCGGUCUGAACAGUGAACUCCGCAUCGACUCACGCGUUCACCUCCUUCCGGUCUAAAUGGUAAACUCCUCUGCAUUUUCUGUUCGGUUCUAUUUUGGUGGGGCCCACGCGUCAUCACAGAGUAUCUGGGAGCCCUGCCCUCUUGCAGAUGGGAAUGAAGGCCCAGGUGCUCUGGAGAGGUGACUCUCCUCUAGUUGUCUCGCUUCUCAGAAAGGAAACACUGGUUCUGUAAACCUGUUUGAGAAGAAAAGCUCGAGGUUUCUUGGCCUCUCUGCUUCUGGAGCCAGGGGAAAAAAUAGCCCCAGGCUGAAGACAGGAGGGACCAGAUUGCUGCUUGGUGAUGCGAUCUCACUGCAGAGGCAGCCAGGAGACCCUCCUGAGACGAAUCGGAGAGUCCAUGCUGCUUUUACACACAUCCUAGUUCUUUUAUAACUAGCCUUUUCCUAUUAACGGACAUCAUUCAAAAGCCAGUUUUAAGCAACAUAAAUAUUGAAAACAAUACUAUACUAUUUAGAAUUAAUUAUAAGUUUUGUUUUUAAAGCCUAAAUCUUUUAUUGUUGUUUGAACCCUGGGCACUGAAGCUAAUAAUGUAACUUUUCUCCCUUCUUUCUUCUUUGGCAUAGAUUUAAAGAACUGUUAGACUCAUUUAAAAUGCUAUUAGGCAUUUUAAAGAGUAAUUGUUAAAUGUGUUGUCUCUUGUGGGACUGGAAAUGUUCUGUUCUUAUCUGGCGCUGGUUACAUCCUGUUUUUCAUUUGGGAAAGUGCAUUGAGCUGGAAAUUUAUAUGUUCAAUUUCUGUAUGUAAAUUGUACUUCAGUAAAAAUUUUCAAAAAAGUG
rnacentral:lncRNA from 1 species